GACGAACGCUGGCGGCGUGCUUAACACAUGCAAGUCGAACGGAAAGGCCCUGCUUUUGUGGGGUGCUCGAGUGGCGAACGGGUGAGUAACACGUGAGUAACCUGCCCUUGACUUUGGGAUAACUUCAGGAAACUGGGGCUAAUACCGGAUAGGAGCUCCUGCUGCAUGGUGGGGGUUGGAAAGUUUCGGCGGUUUGGGAUGGACUCGCGGCUUAUCAGCUUGUUGGUGGGGUAGUGGCUUACCAAGGCUUUGACGGGUAGCCGGCCUGAGAGUGUGACCGGCCACAUUGGGACUGAGAUACGGCCCAGACUCCUACGGGAGGCAGCAGUGGGGAAUAUUGCACAAUGGGCGGAAGCCUGAUGCAGCAACGCCGCGUGCGGGAUGACGGCCUUCGGGUUGUAAACCGCUUUCGCCUGUGACGAAGCGUGAGUGACGGUAAUGGGUAAAGAAGCACCGGCUAACUACGUG
rnacentral:rRNA from 1 species